ACGGUAUAAUUCUAGAAUCAACUAUCAACAUCGAUAAGAUUUUAUGUCGUACUCAAAGCGGAAAGACCGUAAUGGAAAUAUUAAAAGAAGGGCACAAACCGAAUGACUUUUGUCUUACUACUAUCAGGCGGAUUCUUCGCGGGUACCUGAAAUCUGUAUACGGAUUGCGACCAUCAUCUUUCCACAAAUUUAUUGGCGAAGAGUCUUGUACAAACAUAUCCUCAGUUGUCAUCGUCAACGGUUGCUGUGCCUCAGGCACUUUGGUUUCAUCCCAAUGGUCGGGGACAAAGUCGUCAUAGCGGUCGGCUGCACUAUCAUAUGGAAUAUCUGGCUCGUAUUUCGGGAAACCGAAUAAUCAAUCGCC